GAGUUUGAUCUUGGCUCAGAUUGAACGCUGGCGGCAUGCUUUACACAUGCAAGUCGAACGGUAACAGGCCUUCGGGUGCUGACGAGUGGCGAACGGGUGAGUAAUACAUCGGAACGUGCCCAGUCGUGGGGGAUAGCUCGGCGAAAGCCGGAUUAAUACCGCAUACGAUCCACGGAUGAAAGCGGGGGACCUUCGGGCCUCGCGCGAUUGGAGCGGCCGAUGGCAGAUUAGGUAGUUGGUGGGGUAAAGGCUCACCAAGCCGACGAUCUGUAGCUGGUCUGAGAGGACGACCAGCCACACUGGGACUGAGACACGGCCCAGACUCCUACGGGAGGCAGCAGUGGGGAAUUUUGGAC
rnacentral:rRNA from 1 species